GACGAACGCUGGCGGCGUGCUUAACACAUGCAAGUCGAACGAUGAACCCGGAGCUUGCUCCGGUGGAUUAGUGGCGAACGGGUGAGUAACACGUGAGUAACUUGCCCUUGACUCUGGGAUAACUGCGGGAAACUGUAGCUAAUACCGGAUACGACCCUCGGCGGCAUCGCCAGGGGGUGGAAAGAAUUUCGGUCAAGGAUGGACUCGCGGCCUAUCAGCUAGUUGGUGAGGUAACGGCUCACCAAGGCGACGACGGGUAGCCGGCCUGAGAGGGUGACCGGCCACACUGGGACUGAGACACGGCCCAGACUCCUACGGGAGGCAGCAGUGGGGAAUAUUGCACAAUGGGCACAAGCCUGAUGCAGCAACGCCGCGUGAGGGAUGACGGCCUUCGGGUUGUAAACCUCUUUCAGCAUCGACGAAGCGAAAGUGACGGUAGGUGCAGAAGAAGGACCGGCCAACUACGUGCCAGCCGCCGCCGUAA
rnacentral:rRNA from 1 species